AUCUUUGUGCAGUGGCAGUAUCAUAACCCAUGAGAUUAAUCUGAGGUGUGAUUAUUGCUAGUUGAAAACUUUACCCAAUACCCCACUUUGAUGACUUGAGACAUAGUCAAAUAUGGCAAUUUUUGAUAGUCUCCAUUGAGA